rnacentral:piRNA from 1 species
UUGAACACGGUUUCGGAAUGU